rnacentral:rRNA from 1 species
AUUGAACGCUGGCGGCAUGCCUUACACAUGCAAGUCGAACGGCAGCACGGGAGCAAUCCUGGUGGCGAGUGGCGAACGGGUGAGUAAAGUAUCGGAACGUGCCCAGUCGUGGGGGAUAACGUAGCGAAAGUUACGCUAAUACCGCAUACGAUCUAUGGAUGAAAGCGGGGGAUCGCAAGACCUCGCGCGAUUGGAGCGGCCGAUAUCAGAUUAGGUAGUUGGGGGGGUAAAGGCUCACCAAGCCGACGAUCUGUAGCUGGUCUGAGAGGACGACCAGCCACACUGGGACUGAGACACGGCCCAGACUCCUACGGGAGGCAGCAGUGGGGAAUUUUGGACAAUGGGCGAAAGCCUGAUCCAGCCAUGCCGCGUGCAGGAUGAAGGCCUUCGGGAUGUAAACUGCUUUUGUACGGAACGAAAAGACUCUGGUUAAUACCUGGGGUCCAUGACGGUACCGUAAGAAUAAGCACCGGCUAACUACGUGCCAGCCGCCGCAGUAA